rnacentral:rRNA from 1 species
AUACGUAGGGGGCGAGCGUUGUCCGGAAUGAUUGGGCGUAAAGGGCGCGUAGGCGGCGCGGGAAGUCUGGAGUGAAAGUCCUGCUUUCAAGGGGGGAAUUGCUUUGGAUACUGCCGCGCUUGAGUGCAGGAGAGGUUAUCGGAAUUCCCGGUGUAGCGGGGGAAUGCGUAGAGAUCGGGAGGAACACCAGUGGCGAAGGCGGGUAACUGGACUGCAACUGACGCUGAGGCGCGAAAGUGUGGGGAGCAAACAGGAUUAGAUGCCCUGGUAGUCCACACUGUAAACGAUGAAUGCUAGGUGUAAGAGGUAUCGACCCCUUUUGUGCCGGAGUCAACACAAUAAGCAUUCCGCCUGGGGAGUACGGCCGCAAGGUUGAAACUCAAAUGAAUUGACGGGG